rnacentral:rRNA from 1 species
GGAAUAUUGGACAAUGGGGGAAACCCUGAUCCAGCGACGCCGCGUGGGUGAAGAAGGCCUGCGGGUUGUAAAGCCCUUUCGGUGGGGAAGAAAAGCCUCGACCUAAUACGUCGGGGUCUUGACGUAACCCACCAAAGAAGCACCGGCUAACUCUGUGCCAGCAGCCGCGGUAAUACGAACGGUGCAAGCUUUACUCGGAAUUACUGGGCGUAAAGCGUGCGUAGGUGGUUUGUUAAGUCUGAUGUGAAAGCCCUGGGCUCAACCUGGGAAUUGCAUUGGAUACUGGCAGUCUAGAGUACGGUAGAGGGUAGCGGAAUUCCCGGUGUAGCAGUGAAAUGCGUAGAUAUCGGGAGGAACAUCCGUGGCGAAGGCGGCUACCUGGACCAGCACUGACACUGAGGCACGAAAGCGUGGGGAGCAAAC